UGGGGAAUUUUGGACAAUGGGCGCAAGCCUGAUCCAGCAAUGCCGCGUGCAGGAUGAAGGCCUUCGGGUUGUAAACUGCUUUUGUACGGAGCGAAAAGGUCUGCCCUAAUACGGUGGGCUCAUGACGGUACCGUAAGAAUAAGCACCGGCUAACUACGUGCCAGCAGCCGCGGUAAUACGUAGGGUGCGAGCGUUAAUCGGAAUUACUGGGCGUAAAGCGUGCGCAGGCGGUUAUAUAAGACAGGUGUGAAAUCCCCGGGCUCAACCUGGGACCUGCAUUUGUGACAGUAUAGCUAGAGUACGGUAGAGGGGGAUGGAAUUCCGCGUGUAGCAGUGAAAUGCGUAGAUAUGCGGAGGAACACCGAUGGCGAAGGCAAUCCCCUGGACCUGUACUGACGCUCGUGCACGAAAGCGUGGGGAGCAAACA
rnacentral:rRNA from 1 species